UACGUAGGCAGCGAGCGUUGUUCGGAGUUACUGGGCGUAAAGAGUGCGUAGGCGGUUUUCUAAGUUUGGUGUGAAAUCUCCCGGCUCAACUGGGAGGGUGCGCCGAAGACUGGAAGGCUUGAGUAUGGGAGAGGUAAGCGGAAUUCCUGGUGUAGCGGUGAAAUGCGUAGAUAUCAGGAGGAACACCUGCGGUGUAGACGGCUUACUGGACCAUAACUGACGCUGAGGCGCGAAAGCUAGGGGAGCAAACGGG
rnacentral:rRNA from 1 species